rnacentral:rRNA from 1 species
GAACGAACGCUGGCGGCAGGCCUAACACAUGCAAGUCGAGCGAGCAUUUCGGUGCUAGCGGCGGACGGGUGAGUAACGCGUGGGAACGUGCCCUUUUCUGCGGAAUAGUCCUGGGAAACUGGGGGUAAUACCGCAUACGCCCUUUUGGGGAAAGAUUUAUCGGAGAAGGAUCGGCCCGCGUUGGAUUAGGUAGUUGGUGGGGUAAUGGCCCACCAAGCCGACGAUCCAUAGCUGGUUUGAGAGGAUGAUCAGCCACACUGGGACUGAGACACGGCCCAGACUCCUACGGGAGGCAGCAGUGGGGAAUCUUAGACAAUGGGGGCAACCCUGAUCUAGCCAUGCCGCGUGAGUGAUGAAGGCCUUAGGGUUGUAAAGCUCUUUCAGCUGGGAAGAUAAUGACGGUACCAGCAGAAGAAGCCCCGGCUAACUCCGUG